CCCUUAGAUGUUCUGGGCCGCACGCGCGCUACACUGAUGCAUUCAACGAGUCUAUCCUUGACCGACAGGUCCGGGUAAUCUUUGAAUCUGCAUCGUGACGGGGAUAGAUUAUUGCAAUUAUUAAUCUUCAACGAGGAAUGCCUAGUAGGCGCAAGUCAUCAGCUUGCGUCGAUUACGUCCCUGCCCUUUGUACACACCGCCCGUCGCUCCUACCGAUUGGGUGUGCUGGUGAAAUGUUCGGAUCGGCCGUUUGUCGCGGUUUCCGCGGCUCGUGGCUGAGAAGUUCAUUAAACCCUCCCACCUAGAGGAAGGAGAAGUCGUAACA
rnacentral:rRNA from 1 species